GCCCUUACUCCUACGGGAGGCAGCAGUGGGGAAUAUUGGACAAUGGGCGCAAGCCUGAUCCAGCAAUGCCGCGUGAGUGAAGAAGGUCUUCGGAUUGUAAAGCUCUUUCGACGGGGACGAUGAUGACGGUACCCGUAGAAGAAGCCCCGGCUAACUUCGUGCCAGCAGCCGCGGUAAUACGAAGGGGGCUAGCGUUGCUCGGAAUGACUGGGCGUAAAGGGCGCGUAGGCGGUUCGUACAGUCAGACGUGAAAUUCCCGGGCUCAACCUGGGGACUGCGUUUGAUACGUACGGGCUUGAGUUCGGAAGAGGGUCGUGGAAUUCCCAGUGUAGAGGUGAAAUUCGUAGAUAUUGGGAAGAACACCGGUGGCGAAGGCGGCGACCUGGUCCGAUACUGACGCUGAGGCGCGAAAGCGUGGGGAGCAAACAGGAUUAGAUACCCUGGUAGUCCACGCCGUAAACGAUGUGUGCUGGAUGUUGGGCAGCCUAGCUGUUCAGUGUCGUAGCUAACGCGAUAAGCACACCGCCUGGGGAGUACGGCCGCAAGGUUGAAACUCAAUGAAUUGACGAA
rnacentral:rRNA from 1 species